rnacentral:sRNA from 1 species
GGCGAGAUUUCUGCCUUCUUCAACGUCUUUGUUGAGGAAGUUCCCAUUAGAAGCGGUAUCAAGAAGCAUCCUU